UACAGAGGUCUCAAGCGUUGUUUCGGGAUUCAUUGGGCGUAAAGGGUGCGUAGGCGGCGCGGUAAGUCGGGUGUGAAAUCUCGGGGCUUAACUCCGAAACUGCAUUCGAUACUGCCGUGCUUGAGGACUGGAGAGGAGACUGGAAUUUACGGUGUAGCGGUGAAAAUGCGUAGAUAUCGUAAGGAAGACCAGUGGCGAAGGCGGGUCUCUGGACAGUUCCUGACGCUGAGGCACGAAGGCCAGGGGAGCAAACGGG
rnacentral:rRNA from 1 species